UACGUAGGGAGCUAGCGUUGUUCGGAUAUAUUGGGCGUAAAGCGCACGUAGGCGGCGCCGCAAGUCAGGGGUGAAAUCCCGGAGCUCAACUCCGGAACUGCCCUUGAAACUGCAGUGCUAGAAUCCUGGAGAGGCGAGUGGAAUUCCGGGUGUAGAGGUGAAAUUCGUAGAUAUUCGGAAGAACACCAGUGGCGAAGGCGACUCGCUGGACAGGUAUUGACGCUGAGGUGCGAAAGCGUGGGGAGCAAACAGG
rnacentral:rRNA from 1 species